rnacentral:rRNA from 1 species
GACGAGGGAUCCUAGCGUUGUUCGGAAUCAUUGGGCGUAAAGCGGGUGCAGGUGGCUAUGUAAGUCAGAUGUGAAAGCCCAGGGCUCAACCCUGGAAGUGCAUUUGAUACUGCGUAGCUUGAGUGCUGGAGAGGUUACUAGAAUUCUUGGUGUAGUGGUGAAAUACGUAGAUAUCAAGAGGAAUACCGGUGGCGAAGGCGGGUAACUGGCCAGACACUGACACUCAGACCCGAAAGCGUGGGGAUCAAAC